rnacentral:lncRNA from 1 species
GUAGAAACAUCGAUGAGCUGUCUGAAUUUCUAUCUGUUCACCAGGCUUGGCAGCACAAGUCAAGUUGGCAGGUGUCGGGUAAGAUGGGAGGACAGAGUGAGGGACUAGUGCGAUGGGAUUGAGGCCACUCUGAGUGGGAGUAUCUCUUACAUGUAGCAUCAUAGGCUCCUUUGGGACCUGCUCAAGAAAUGUUGGUUGUCCAGUCUUCCUUUCUGAGUUCAGAUUGACAAAUACUUCUCGAGGGCCCACCAGUGCCAAGUGCAGUAAUGGACUUUAGAGAUUAGUGCUGAUACCCCCUGGGUUCCAGUUCCAAUCCCACCCUAGUCACAGAGCUCACCUUCCUUCUUCUGGGUCCCUCUGUGUUGGGAGGACACAGGGUCUUAGGGUCACUUAUUAGCUGCUGGGUGGCCUGGGGUAAGUAGAUGCACUUCUCUGAAUCUUGCUUCCCUCAGUUGCAAAAAAAGGACACUUAGACUCAUGCCUCAUAGAGUUGAGAGGAUUGAGCAUCACAGCCUGAUUUUGCUUUGCUAAAAAGACCAGAUAGAGAAAUUAUAGAGGGGAAAGUGAUGACCAGCCACAAGUUGCCUUUAAUAUCAUCAAUUCUGCUUUUCAUAAAAUUUAUAUCACCCUCCACUAAAAUCAUCUGACAUUAGAUUAUAAACUCUGUGUAUCCUUAGCCCUGACCUUCCUUAGUCAAAUGAAUUAUAAAAAGGGCAUUUUUUUUCCCUCCAGGUGGGUGUAGCCAGCAUCCAGAUGUUCUGCUUGGUUGAAGAACAAACUGGAUACCAACUGCUCUUCAGCUGGGCACCUUUGUAUUGUGCACAACCCGCACAACCAUCUAUGGUGACUCCACUAACACUUCAUGCUGGGUGCUUGGCCCAGCAUACAUACUUGGUGAUUUUUAGGCUAUUUAGCUGGACUGUGUUUCCCAGCAGUCCUUGCAGAUGGUUUCAAAUGAACAACUCUGAGGGCUUGAAGAUACACAAGGCAACAUCCUUUACCUUGUUCUGGGAUCCAAAGCAGGAUCCAGAAUCACACUUAAUCUUGAGCUUCUCAGAUCCUUCUGGGCCAAAUUUAGAGCACAGGCCAUUCACAGACCAUUCUCCAGUCCAUCUGAGGUUAAGAACAUUGAAAUGA